AAAUAGGAUUCCCUCAGUAAUGGCGAAUGAACAGGGAUCAGCUCAGCAUGGAAAUUGGGGCCCUCGGCCUUGAAUUGUAGUCUCGAGAUGCAUCGCCAAUGGAGGCGCAGAUGUAAGCCUCUUGGAAAAGAGCAUCAACGAGGGUGAGAGUCCCGUUUGUCAUCUGCAGUCCCCCAUGCACGGCGUGCCUUCUAAGAGUCGCGUUCCUCGGAAUUGGAGCGUUAAUUGGGUGGUAAAUUUCAUCUCAAGCUAAAUAUUGGUUCGAGACCGAUAGCAAACAAGUACCAUGAGGGAAAGGUGAAAAGGACUUUGAAAAGAGAGUUAAAAGUGCCUGAAAUUGCUGAAAGGGAAGCGAAUGGAACCAGUGUUGCUUGGCGAGAUUGUCAUACGCAUUCGCGUGUGGUGGUUCUUGCCUUGUGUGUCAACGCCAGUUCGCGAUCGAGGAAAACUCCAUGGACAUGGUAGCCUGGCUCCGGUUGGGUGAAUGUGCUUGGCAGAACUCAUUCGCGUACUGAUUCCUUCGUGUCUGGUUGCAGCGCUGCUUGCUCUUGUGUUGGCGCUUGGGUGUGGGAGCUCGCUCCCUACACCCUGCCCAUCUAAGGUGCACGGCGCUUCCCUGACACAUAGACGAUGACUAAAUGGUUUUAUUCGACCCGUCUUGAAACACGGACCAAGGAGUCUAACAUAUGUGCGAGUCCACGGGUGGUAAACCUGCUGGCGCAGUGAAAGCGACUGCUGGGAUUUUUGCACCAGCAACCGACCAAUCAAUUGAGAGAGGUUUGAGUAUGAGCAUAUCUGUUAGGACCCGAAAGAUGGUGAACUAUGCCUGAGAAGGGCAAACUCAGGGGAAACUC
rnacentral:rRNA from 1 species